rnacentral:tRNA from 1 species
UAGAAAUAAAAAUACUAAUUAUUAUUGAACAAAACAAUAAUAUUAAUGAAGAAUUAAGCUUAA